UAAGGAAUCUUCCACAAUGGACGAAAGUCUGAUGGAGCAACGCCGCGUGCAGGAUGACGGCCUUCGGGUUGUAAACUGCUUUUAUAUGGGAAGAUUAUGACGGUACCAUAUGAAUAAGGACCGGCUAACUACGUGCCAGCAGCCGCGGUAAUACGUAGGGUCCAAGCGUUAUCCGGAAUCACUGGGCGUAAAGCGUGCGUAGGUGGCGUGUUAAGUGUGAUGUUAAAUCGUGUGGCUCAACCAUAUCGAUGCAUCACAUACUGGCAGGCUAGAGGGAAGCAGAGGCAAGUGGAAUUGGUAGUGUAGCAGUGAAAUGCGUAGAUAUUACCAGGAACACCAAUGGCGAAGGCAGCUUGCUGGGCUUCUUCUGACACUGAGGUACGAAAGCGUGGGGAGCGAACAGG
rnacentral:rRNA from 1 species